UACGGAGGGUGCGAGCGUUGUCCGGAAUCACUGGGCGUAAAGGGCGCGUAGGUGGCGCGGGAAGUCAACGGUGAAAGUUCAGGGCUCAACCCUGAAUCGGCCGUCGAUACUCCCGGGCUUGAGCACUGUAGAGGCAGGUGGAAUUCCGGGUGUAGCGGUGGAAUGCGUAGAGAUCCGGAAGAACACCGGUGGCGAAGGCGGCCUGCUGGGCAGUGGCUGACGCUGAGGCGCGACAGCGUGGGGAGCAAACAGG
rnacentral:rRNA from 1 species